rnacentral:lncRNA from 1 species
GUUCUGGUCGUACAAAAUACAGGAGCCAAGAAGGGCUCUCAAGCUCAAACCCUAACAAGCAUAAAAUCAACAAAUUGAAGGGGUAAAUCCAACCUAAAUCGAAAUCCAAGCACGAAUUCAUGAUCACCUCGAUGAAGGGAUCAUAAGUUUGGCUCUUGACAAGCUAGAUGGAGGCUUGGGGAAAGAAGCGGGUCAAACGGAUCGUAUACGCGGAAAAGAGCAUAAUCCGGAUACUAGGAAUAAAUAUCGAUUGAAUGUUGACAUCGCUAUUACUUAGCGGCUACUAAG